rnacentral:lncRNA from 1 species
CCGGACCUUCCGCCUUCGAUUUAAAAAUUUGGCGCGGAAAGCGGGACCGUAGCUGGCACCGCCCCCGAGUGCGCGGGGCUGGAGCGCGGGCGAGCCCCUCCCCCGCCCUCUGCGCGGGAGCUCGGCUCCUCCCCACGGGCCCCGGCGGGGCGGGAGGCGGGAAACGGCCGCCUUCACCCUGGCCUUCCCGGGAUCCCACAACCCCGCCGCAGCAGUCUGCUCCCCGCUCACCUGUCAAUCCUCCUUCAGAGCUGACGGUCCGGGGUGGCCCCGAAUCCUGGCUGCGCGUCUCAGGGAGCCAGCGCGUCUCAGGGAGACUCGCUUAGCCCCGCCGCGCAGAGUUCUAGUAGCUAUCAGAAGCUCCGGUGCUCAGGGUCACCCAAGUGUUCCUCAAGACCAGGAUUGGACCUGAAUGUUCACGUGCUGUACACAGGGGCUGGCUGGCUGUAGCAUCGGAUGCAAAAUAAAAAUCCGUCAUGAGGCA